rnacentral:lncRNA from 1 species
CGCGGGCCGAGGCUGCGGGAGGAAGCAUUCGCUACUAUACCUGGGGGAGGAGGCGGACGGGGCAGCGGCGGCCGCGACGGCUGGAGGCGGAGGCUCGGGCGGAGGAGGAGGUGCCGGGCACUCCCCCCUCCCAUUGUCCCGGCCCGCGGCCUGCCGCGGCCCGCUCCGCCCGGCCCGCGCCCUCCCCGUGCCCGGUCCCCGCUGCUGGCCCUUACCUUGCAGCGGCCGGCUCUUUCCCGCCGCUAAUGCUACUUAUCCCGGGAAAGCUCGGAGCAGGGCCCGGGAGCGAACCCACAGACAAAAAGUGAAACUUCGGCAGGCCGGGAGCGGCUGCUGGUUGGUGCUCUCCCCCUCCUUCCUCCCCACCCCCCUCCCCGCGGUCUCCCGUGCGGUGCCCUGAGCGCUGGAGGCUGACGUCAGGGGCCUGAAUUCCUGACUUUGCCUGCACGCAUUUGUCCAUGUAAGGCGACAAGUUGGAAGGCUGAGCUUGAGCGAGAAGACCCUGCCAUGGAACACCACCCCCACUCCCACUCCCCACCCUCAUCGCCCCCCCCACCCCAAGAGCCUCGUCCGGGCCCCGCCCAGAACUCCAGCAGAACUCAGAACUACGGGAUGGAAGAGAGCAACUUCGGUUCACUUCACACCCUGUCCCUACACAAAAGAAAUGCCUCACCUCAGCCCACACUAACAACAACCUCAGCACACCCUAAUGGCUUCCCUACCUGUUGCUGCCAUCUCAGCUACGCACUGAAAAGCAGGAAUGCAGCAGAAGCGAAGAUCAAGAGUACCAGGCACCCCACGCAAUAAUGAACUGUUUUCUCUUUACAAUUAACGUGACAUCAGACAGGAAUCAAGAGCUCCUAGAGUUCAGACUUAAAAAGAUCACAAUUGAUUCAUUUCAGCCAGUCUGUGUCCUGGGUGCUACUAUUUAGUGUGGGGAACUCACCCCCGUGCUCAUUUAGACGUAACGGAACUUGACCAGCAUUGCUUGCUUGCUUUUAUUCCCUUCUCAGUAACCCACUUAUAAAGAAUAAUAGGGUUCUAAUGAGGAUUAAUAAAAUUUAAUAAGGUAUAAUUAGAGUCAUUCAUUUCCUCCAUCAUACACCUUAUAAGAGUGCUGUGUUGAUCCAGAAAUGCUGCUAAUUAUGUUGAAACUGUUCUGCGUGUUGGGGAAGAUCACUGUGCCGCUUCUCCUGAAAUACUCAG